GAUUGAAAUGGUAAAAAUACUCUUGUGGACGUAGAUCUACUUCUAUAAUUAAAGGCGACUGAGCUGAGAUCUACAGCAUCUGAAGCUGAACUGAUCGAUCAACAUGAAUUUUAUACAGGAUGAAUCCAACGCCAUUUUAACAACACAAGACACCUUCAUGCCACCAACUUUCCACUUAGUGAUGGCUGUUGUCUUGCGCCUAAUUCUCGGGUACAAAGUCCUCGAUAAGAGAGCAUGGCUCGUGGACAUAGUAGCUGCUGGCUCACUGCUGUAUGGUACUUACACACGCACUCGAAUAUUGGAUGGCAGGAAUUGGGCGAACCGUGAGACUGCUAUCACCUCUGACUAUAGGGCUGUCACGAACUACUUUGUCUUGAGUGUGACGUCAUGGAUCGCUCUGUUGAUUCUGGAAGGCAAGACCUGUAUACAAAUGUUUGGGACUGUGUUUGGGAAAUUUAGCUAUCCCGUUAAUGUUUCACAAGUGGUGAAGUUUUUUAUCUGUUUCUUGUUAGCAUCAAACUCCGUUCUUGUGAUACUGCACUUCUGUACGGAUGUUCAUCAAACGUUUGAACAUCUCACUAGUGAAACACCACUGAUUCUGUACUAUUGGAUUGCAGCAUUUACAAAGGUGACCAGUGUCUUUAUACAAGGAGUCUACUUUUGCAGCUGGAUCACCAAUCACCCCGUCUGCUUUAUCCCAAAUGACAAUGUCAGAGAACAAAAGCUCAUGUUUCGAAUGACUUUUGUGAAUGUUAUUGGUCUUUGCCACUCACUUGGUCUAGUGUACUUUAGUGUGCUUAAUAGUAGCUCUCCUUGGACAUUGAGCAAAAUGUGUAGAACAAUAUUUUUUGUGAUCGACCUUAUGUACAAACUCUUUGUUUGCUGGUGGUACCUAAAGAACUCCUACUGUUGUCUUGGGCCAUGGUUUUGCGGUGCCUGCUCCACACAAACUGGUCUUAGUCGAACUGUCAUUGUCAGUACCAUACAGCACUUACUGGCCAAAGCUCGUACUUGGCAUCUUGUACUCGUCAAUGUUGCUACUAUUUCUCUGCAGUGUUUGUUUGCUGUCUUUCAAUGGGUUAAACCACUCUUUAGUAUUCAACAUUGUGAGACGGAAAGGAGAGCAGUUCAAGCAAGUGCCCGGCCAGAAAACGAUCAAAUGGUGUUAAUUUACUCUAAAUCUCCCUAUCUUCCCAUCACACUCAAAGCUGUAGAUGUGUCGGUGCUUUCAGUACUAGUGUAUUUGCCAAGAAGGUGCAUACUCAAACGAACAGAUGAUCACCAAGGUGGUGAACUGGCCUUGUGUACUUGGUCAAAUUCUGAGUGCCUAAUAAUGGACAACGAUUAUGCUCUGCAGUUCUUGAGCUCAGAGUGUGCUGCUAUGGAAUUUCCCAGGCGGUCUGUGCAAGAGACGUGGAACGAGGCGAUUGGUGAACUAGUGACUGGUCGACCAUUAACACAGCUAGCUAGUGGCACAGUUGUAUAGCAAGUCACUUCAGAAUUGUUCCCUCUCACUACAUGCAUAAUUAUUAUUUUGAUGCCUGCUUUUUUAUAUCAAUUGCUAUAUCCCAUCACCCAUCCACACAACCAAAUGCUCUUUAUACCACAUGUACAUGUUGCACCUCAUCCCGGAUCCCCCAUGCACAAACAUUCCUUUUUUCUGGACGUAAUAUCGAACUGGAAUUCUUCACCACCAGAAGUUAUCAAUAGCUCUUCUGUUUCGUUAUUUAAAUCGAACCUCAGUAGUUUUUUAUUCAACAAUGUAUUUUUCUCUUUUUGUGCUGUCCAUGAUCCAGGCCAGGGGAAGUCUACCUCAUUCAAGCAUCCUUAUUAAACGACACAAUUGUUGUGCUGCUCUGUUGCUAGCUGUCAUCAUUCUGUCUGCUUCAUUGUAUAUGAGGAACUCUACCUUCCAGUCUACAACAGAGUCACCUACACUGGAGAGAGAGAUGUUUCGACUAAAGGGUGAGCUAUCUAGACUUGAGACAGAUAAGCGUUCCCUGGAGUCUACAGUAAACUCUCUCGAGAAAAUGGUAAAAGGCCUGGAGGAGGAAGAGAAGUCACUACAGGAGCAACUAAACAUUGCUCUCGGAGGGGGGGCUCUUGACAGUUUACAAGACACCAGUGAAACAUGUGAGCUAAAGAUUGCAUCUCUUUCGACCCAGCUUACUGACAGCAAAGAGUUGCUUGAACUGUGGAAUGUUACUCUUAAGGAGUGUCAAGCUAAACUGAGAAAGUGUAUACCAUGAGCCAUUCAAUCAACUGAUGGACCUAGACCAGCGAGCAUGUGGGAUGUGACGUUUCCACAGCUGAUGUCCGUAUGUAAGGGUGGGAUCCUCAAAAUAAUAAUGCUAUGGCAUAAUUAUAGUGGGACAGUUGGCUAAGAAGCACAAUAAUAUUGGUUUUGUAAAUUUGCCUCACAUUGUUAUGCCAUAAAUUCA